rnacentral:rRNA from 1 species
CAUCAGCGGCGAACGGGUGAGUACACGUGGGUGGCUUGCCCCGAAGAUGGGGAUACCUCGUGGAGCGGGGGCUAAUACCCAAUGUGCUCGGUGAUUCGGUUCAUCGAGUAAAGCUCCGGCGCUUCGGGAGAGGCCUGCGGCCCAUCAGCUAGUUGGUAGGGUAACGGCCUACCAAGGCAGAGACGGGUAGGGGGCGUGAGAGCGCGGACCCCCACACUGGCACUGAGAUACGGGCCAGACUCCUACGGGAGGCAGCAGUAAUGGAUAUUGCGCAAUGGACGAAAGUCAGACGCAGCGACGCCGCGUGGGCGAUGAAGGCCUUCGGGUUGUAAAGCCCUUUUAUGGGGGAAGAGAAAAAGGACGGUACCCCAGGAAUAAGUCCCGGCUAACUACGUGCCAGCAGCCGCGGUAAAACGUAGGGGACAAGCGUUAUCCGGAUUCACUGGGCGUAAAGAGCGUUGAGGUGGUUCCGUAAGUUGGGCGUGAAAGCUCCGGGCUUAACUCGGAGAUGUCGUUCAAUACUGCGGGGCUUGAGGACAGCAGAGGAAGGUGGAAUUCCCGGUGUAGUGGUGAAAUGCGUAGAUAUCGGGAGGAACACCCGUGGCGAAGGCGGCCUUCUGGGCUGUUCCUGACGCUGAAGGCGAAAGCUAGGGGAGCGAACGGGAUUAGAUACCCCGGUAGUCCUAGCUGUAAACGAUGGAUGCUGGGUGUGGGGGGUGUA